UGGGCCCCAGCAAGUCUAACGCCAACCCUGGAAACCCCAUUAAAACAGGGUUGCAACCCACUUUGGGGUCCAUACUCAGUUUGAGAAUUGCUUCUCUAAAGCAUAAUCAUGAUAUUUUAAAUAUUAACAUUAACUAUUUAAGUGCUGAUUACUUUAGUGGAUGGAAGGGGGGUGGAAGUGAAACUCACAAAGCAGGAAUUUGGAAUUGCUGUAGGGAAAGAAAUGCAGAGGGUAGAAAGAAGGAGAAUAAAAGAAUGGGAAAGUAGAGAAACAAAAUUAAGCAAGCCACAAAGGGCAGAAAGAAGUAGUUUUAAAUGUGAGCUUAUUUUUUCAUCGAGGGAUGCUGAGUAGAACAAUAAGAUACUGAAGAAAUAAUAGAGAAUACCUGAAAGUUUAAUAAGUAAAAACCAUAUUCUACCCUUGAGCUUUAUGCAAAUCACUGGCUUGAGGGCCCUUAUAUAGUCUUAAAUGUAUACCCUGGCCCUUUUUUUUUUUUUUUAAAGAGAGAAGGUGGGGGGGAGGGGCAAAUUCAUAUGUAGUGUAUAACUCCUUUGAAGCCUCCAGUAACAAAUUUGGCUCAGAUUCUAUAAAAACACGUUAAAACCUGUUUUUAAUGGUCAAGUUAACUUAGGCUUGGUCUGCAGCAGUGGUUUUCAACCUCUUUUCAUUUGCAGACCCCUCACAAAUUUCAAAUGGAGGUGCCAGACCCCUUUGGAAACCUUAAAUGUAUUCUGUGAGGAUCCUCUCACAGGGUCCAUGGACCACAGGUUGAAAACCACUGGUCUACACCACAAACUUUUGUUGAUAUUACUAUGUCAUUCAGAGGCGUGGAAAAUCCACACCCAAGUUAUGUAGUUAUACCAAACUAGCCCCCAGUGUAGACAGCGCAGUGUCGAUGGCAGGGCUUUUCUGGUCAACAUAUCUACCGCCACUUAGGGAGGUGGAGUACCUAUGCUGAUGGGAGAAGCUCUCUCCCGUCAGCAUAGAUAGCGUCUUCACUAAGCGCUAGAGCAGUGCUAUAAGUGUAGACAAGCCUUAAGGCACAGCUGGUGUUAACUUGGUUCUCCCAUCCCAGUUCUGAAGUUUGCAUAAAUGGAAAAUCCAGUUUGCCUAAGUAUCCUGUUUAAUGUGACUAUUCAAAGAGAUUCUUUUCUAACCCGACUAUAUAGCUAUGAUAUAUCUCUCUCUGGCUGAACUGUGUUAAAAUAACUUAGCUUUUCUUAAAUACAUUUUUAAAAAUCAAAUAUAUUGAGUUAGAAUCCCCUGAAGGAAAUCUGAAUUGUUCCCUUAAUGUUAUCUAAGGUGAGAAGUCUGACUAAUUUGAACUGAUGGAUGGCUUCCCUCUGUUCUCUUGAAAGUAUCAACUAAGAAAUAAUUUCCGUGCUUAGAAGCAUGAUUUAUAAUAGUAUUAUAAAGGAUUAUAAAGACUUGAAAUAAUGAAGAGGAUUAAGUUAAAUGGAAUAGGUCCAAAAACACCUACUCUAGCUCUCCACACAAAUAUCCAGAAACCAAUUCAAGUGCUUAGAUUGACAGGUUAUAUUAUACAUUCUAAGAUUCAAUCAGGACUUUCUUCUAUGUUCCCUACAAAGUUUGAGCUUGGCUUAACUGAUUUGUGGUCUGUUCAACCACAGAAUGAGAAUAGAUUUUUUCCCCAAGAUGAUUAUAUCUCUUCUUAUUAGUAUAGUUGAAAUAAUCUGUAAUAAAUUUAACAGACAAUAUAGUAUAAUUUUAACCAAAUAGAUGUCUGAAAAAAGUGAGCAGGCAAGAUCAUAAGACUUUUUCUAUUUCUAAAAGUUCCUAUUUACACAAUGACUAAAAGAGAUUUCCACCUAUAACAUAGUUAAAAUACUGAGUUUUAAAAAUUGCUCACGAGAGUAAGAAUACUGUUGUCCAAAUACUUUAAAGCUAAUCUUUAAAUCUCGUUGUGAAAAACAAAGGCUUUAUGUAAGGAAUCCUAAAAUAAGCAUUCUGUCUUUCAGUUCUUCUGCCCAAGAAGCCUUAAGUGCACUCUUUUUAAAAAAGGAAAUCAAACUGUGAAAGAUCUUAAGGCCUCAAUUCACAUCCAAGUAUCAUUUAAAAAAAAAAAAAUGUAAUGUCCUUUUUUGAGUUGUCAGCAACCCCUAGAAAUUACAGCUUUCCUACAACUACAGUGAUCCAAGCCAUCAAUGUGAUCCUCAUUUUGAUAAAAGGAAUUCUCUAUGGCAUCUAGCCAUUUACACACAUGUAGGACAAUAUGUUCUAAUAGAAAAAUAAAGUUCUCACCUUUAUAAUGAUAUCUUCAGUUUAUUCAGGGUCUUCUCCAGCUUUUGCAAAUAUUUCUGAAUACAACUUGAAAAAUUCUUGUAUGCUCUUCCCCUUUGGUGUUUUUUGCAUUAGUCAUACUAGAAGUUCUGGCUCAAUUUAGAAUUUUGCUUUUUUCAGUGUAUGAGUUAGUUUUCACUUUUCCGUUCAUUCUACAAACAGAAACUACGUGCACAUGCAACCCUACUCCUUUUUUCUUAGAAAAAUCCCGCCAUCAAAAAAUUCCAGAGGCAAGUGACUUAAAGUUAAGCUCUGGAGUACAGUGAGGUCUCACACUUAAACAUGUGUGAAAAGUACUGAAGUGCAUUGAUUUAAUCUUAGCAACUGGCUGUUCAACUUGUGAAAGCUGAAUAAUAUAACAAAUAAUAAAAUAACAUGUUUUCUGACUACUUGAACAUAUGUCCUACUAGAAUAUUUUUUCAUAUUAAAGAUUCUAAAUUUUAUUACAGUAUAUACAAAAUGAAUAUUUAUGUUCAUAAACGACUUCAGCAAAUGUUCUAACUUCAUAUUGGCGGCAUGAAUUCUAUUCCAAACAGUGUAGAACUUUCUAGAAUAUUUCUUUUUUUGGCCAGUGCUUAUAGUUGAUUCAUUUUAUUUGCGUAUGAGGUAUUUAAGACUUAUUGGUGGUGUGGUAAUCUAAUAGAGGCUAUAUGUUUCCAGCUAUAAGAAUAUUUGCCCAAAAAAUGACAUGAACUAUGUAAUAUUAAUUAGCUAAUAACUACUAAUUCCGAUGUGCAUGGUUAUUACUGACACAAGAAGUAGAUGUAUGAAUACCAGAUUUAGAGAGUGAGAAUUUUAGCCAGCUCUCUGGUUUGGCAAUAGAGCCGAGUGCUGCAGCUCAUACUAUCCAGGUAUGGAAGUGACUUUUGGUUGCUCUUUCCUUGGAAUCAUUGGAACUUGGCUGCAUUGCAGAGGUGACUCACUCGGGCUCUGAGUGGAAAAUGAUGUGCCUUCAUUACAUGCACAUUCUGGACUGAUCUUCAGACAGGGAAUGUUGUCUAGUUCUGUGCAGGCUGCUACCCUGUCUAAUUCUGUGGAGCAGGGAUUCUCAAACUUUUUUUUGCAGGGCCUCCCUUUGAAAAUAUUUCAGGCUGUGAUUACCCUUGCCACCCUACUCUUGGUACUGGACAUAACUUUUACUGGAUAUCCCUAUAGAGCUAAGUGACCAUACCAUUCCCCCACUUACUUCUGCACUGCUGCUGGCAGCAGCACUGCCUUUAGAGCUGGGCGGCCAGCAAGCAGCCACUGCUUUUGGCUGCCUAGCUGUGAGUCAAGGGAAAAGGUGAUCUUGUGACCCCCUUCCACAGUAGCCUUGUGAACUCCUUUUGGGUUGGGACCCCCAGUUUGAGGAACUUUGCUCUAGAGAAGUAGAUUGGGGAAGAUUUAGCAGAUCCUCAGGACCUUUUAUAUGGCCAACUUUUGAUCAAGCCAGAUAUGGCAAAGAGCCAUUUCUUUGAUGACUGGGGGAAGAGUGACAAGGACUCUGCUACUACUUGAAAUGUGUAUUGGUUCUGUAUUUGGGGGAGGUGCACUCUGAGUUUGCCUCAGCUCAGAAUUUGUGUAUGUGUUUCUUUUGAAGGGGAAAGACACAUUGGAAUGUAAAUAGUCUUCACUUAUUAAUCCUGCACAUUGUUUGGGCUCAUGAAUGGCAGCCUGGGGAGCAGAUUCCAGCCUUUCUUACCAGGUGUCAUUCUUAACUGUGUACAUAAAAGAAUCUUU